GAUUCUUGGAUAAUAGAAAUUCUUCCUAAAACAUACUCAGAGAUGCAGCUCAUUAUUAAAUUAAGAAGUGAUAUGUUGGACUCUGUUGUAGAAGAAUGAGCACUAGUAUUCAGCAACAAGUGCAAUUUCUCCAUGUUAUGUUGAGCUCUGUUGGAGCCUAUGGUCCCAUCUGGGAGGUUACUUACCAAGUGGCACAGUGUGGGAAUGAUCUGGAGUUUGCAGCAAGUGCCCAGCAGAGCUGCUGCAUUAUCUGGCAUUUCUGCAGGAGAGAAAAAUCACAGUCACAGUCCAAAAAAACAAGUCCAUGGGAACAGAGCCAGCCCCUGGAUGGCACCUAACUUAUAUUUUAGUACUUUCCCGCCAGCCAGGCAGGGGAGGUACUCAGCAGUUGUUGAGUUAGUGAAUGAAUGGUGCUAAAUGGGCAGCAAAGACCUUGUAGAAAACAGAUGUAGGAACCCAGCUGCCAGCUCUGCAUUCCACAGAGGAUACUCCUUGACAUUGAAUUUACCAAAUGGAAAGAACUGCCCAGACUCUGGGGGAAGGAAAGGAAACAGCAUGGAAAAGCAGACCCUGCCAUCUGGUGACAGAAGAGUGAUGUUUGAGACCCUCCACACAUUCAGGCUGCAGCCUCAGCAGGAAGAUGAAGACGGAAAGCCUAUGUGGCCUAGCGUAUCCAGCUGAGCCUCUGUCCCCAGCCAUCUCAUCUGCCAUUACUGCCCUGCCUUCACUUUCCAGGGUGGCUCCUGGGACCCAGCCCUCAGGUUUGUUGAGGCAGCCCUAGGAAAUUAACGCCUCCCUCUACCAGAUGCCAGCUACCUGUCUGCACUUAGAAAACGCAGGACCCAAGAGUCAGAAAAGAGACAGCUGUAGCGAGAAAAGGAGGUGGGGGAACCUUUAACACAAUUCCAUCCUGCCUCGUCCCCUGUUCCAGAAAACCCCAGUGAAAACACUGCCUUGAGAUGUCUCAGGGCUCACCACUGGUUCCAGGACCAUGAGUAGUUCAUCAUCAAAUAGGACCGCCUGAAAGAUGUCACUCAAAGCUGUCUGUCGUGGCUCAGGCAGCUCCGCAAAUGGAUGGAAAUUCCUCUCCAGGAGCAGGGUCGCUGUGAAAACAAAGCACACCCAAGUCUCAUGACCGCGAUGCACAUCUCAUGACGUCGGACAGCAACUCCUGCUUUUUAUACCUAAUCGUCAUCAGUUCUUUCAUGGAUAUUCCCAGCUGCAUAGUCAGUCAUGGAACUCAGAAAUAAACAUCAAGUUACACGCC